UUAAAGGUAAAGCCGCGAAUAGCUCAUUACAACAGCCUCUGUUUAUUAGAUCUUUCUUUCCUACUUGGAUAACUGUGGCAAUUCUAGAGCUAAUACAUGCAACAAAGCCCUGACCGUAAGGAAGGGGUGCACUUAUUAGAACAAAACCAAUCGAGCCUCUGGCUCGUCAAUUGGUGAAUCUGAAUAAUUUUGCCGAUCGAACGGUCUUUGAACCGUCGACGUAUCUUUCAAAUGUCUGCCUUAUCAACUUUCGAUGGUAGUAUAUAGGACUACCAUUGUGAUAACGGGUAACGGAGAAUUAGGGUUCGACUCCGGAGAGGGAGCCUGAGAAACGGCUACCACAUCCAAGGAAGGCAGCAGGCACGCAAAUUACCCACUCCCGGCAAGGGGAGGUAGUGACGAAAAAUAACGAGGCAGUUCUCUACGAGGCCUGUCAUCGGAAUGAAUACAAUUUAAAUCCUUUAAUGAGGAUCUAUUGGAGGGCAAGUCUGGUGCCAGCAGCCGCGGUAAUUCCAGCUCCAAUAGCGUAUAUUAAAGUUGUUGCGGUUAAAAAGCUCGUAGUUGGAUCUGUGGUCAUGUGAAGUGGUCGCCCAGUGGGUUGUUACUGCUUACACAGGCCAAGUUUUUCUAGCGCACUCUUGGUGCUCUUAAAUGAGUGUCUUGAGUAGCUAGUAUGUUUACUUUGAAAAAAUUAGAGUGCUUAAAGCAGACGCUUGUUUGAAUAGUGGUGCAUGGAAUAAUGGAAUAGGACCUUGAGUCCAUUUUGUUGGUUUACAGUCUCGAGGUAAUGAUUAAGAGGGACAGACGGGGGCAUUCGUAUUGCGACGUUAGAGGUGAAAUUCUUGGAUCGUCGC
rnacentral:rRNA from 1 species